UUGGAGGGCAAGUCUGGUGCCAGCAGCCGCGGUAAUUCCAGCUCCAAUAGCGUAUAUUAAAGUUGUUGCAGUUAAAAAGCUCGUAGUUGAAUUUCGGGGUCAGCAGGUUGGUCGUGCCAAUGGUAUGAACUGGCCUUGCUGAUUCCUCCCUCUUGAUGAGCCGUAAUGCCAUUAAUUUGGUGUUGCGGGGAAUCAGGACUGUUACUUUGAAAAAAUUAGAGUGUUUAAAGCAGGCAAGCGCUUGAAUACAUUAGCAUGGAAUAAUGAAAUAGGACGUUUGAUCCUAUUUUGUUGGUUUCUAGGAUUGACGUGAUGAUUAAUAGGGAUAGUUGGGGGCAUUAGUAUUCAAUUGUCAGAGGUGAAAUUCUUGGAUUUAUUGAAGACUGACUACUGCGAAAGCAUUUGCCAAGGAUGUUUUCAUUAAUCAAGAACGAAAGUUAGGGGAUCGAAGACGAUCAGAUACCGUCGUAGUCUUAACCAUAAACUAUGCCGACUAGGGAUCGGAUGAUGUUAAUUUUUUAAUGACUCAUUCGGCGCCUUACGGGAAACCAAAGUGUUUGGGUUC
rnacentral:rRNA from 1 species